AUGUCAAAUGAAGUCCAGCAUGACUUGGUUCAUUGUGUACGUGUGCAUCUACUCACCAAAAAAAUAAGGUUGCUCGGCAUACUAGCUAGCAAGCCUCUCAGAAAUUUCAUCCAUUUUGCCUUCUUCCAAAAUCAUGUACACGUGUGUACAUUGUUGUGGCCAAAAACAUCGACCAGCAAGUUUGUCCGGGAUACUUCGGUACACAACGACAUUCGGGGCAUCACCAACAUGGCAAACAAGCAAAUCCUGAACUUCUUUGAACAACAAAGGGGCUAUAUUGAGGAGGUGUGGUGCGAAGGCCACACACGAUAA
rnacentral:rRNA from 1 species